rnacentral:tRNA from 1 species
GCUUUCGUGGUGUAAUGGUCAGCACACUCGGCGCGUAUUCGAGAGGUCCGAGGUUCGAGUCCUGACUAGGGCA